CAGUGUAGGGACACUAGGGUGAGAGUGCAGGUGGUUGUUAGAGAACAACUUGUACUGAGCAUGACCAACAUGAAAAAUUACUUGGAUGUCUACUCACUCGUCAGUGAUUGUCUCGAUGCUGCAGUGGUAUGAGUAGUCCUUUGACCUACGGUGUCAUCGGCUAUUCACAGUGAGGCUACUGAGUUUGACUAUAGGUUCUCUUGGUCCCGAACCAUUUGGG
rnacentral:lncRNA from 1 species